rnacentral:lncRNA from 1 species
CCCCCCCCCCCCCCCCCCCCCCCCCCCCCCCCCCCCCCCCCCCCCCCCCCCCCCCCCCCCCCCCCCCCCCCCCCCCCCCCCCCCCCCCCCCCCCCCCCCCCCCCCCCCUUGCCCGGGCCAUUUAUACGGUGCUUUGCCCGGGUUAGGAGUACACUGACAUACCGAAGAGGAGGCCUCCAGGGCAAUAAAGCCAUCAGGAUCUCGUAACCACUGCACACAUGCACGUACGAGUCCCUGCAUUCAUCCUGGGAGCGGCUGCGCAGCUGAAGCAGGAUCUCCUGCGCCUGGGCUCGGUUUUGCUGCUGCUCCAGGACAGCUUUUUAUGAGCAGAAUUGAGGAUCACUGACUGACUGCUUAACAUAAGCUACUUGCCUCUGAAAUUACUGUACUCCAGCCUGCCACUGUCCUGCCUGCAGUUUUUCUGUCUAAAAAACUGAGGUGAACUGAGACUAAAUAGCUUUUAAUGAUAUAUGUGAAGUUACUUUUAAAAAGGAUUUUUUAACUCAUCACCAUCAUUUUUAGGUAACCAGAUAAAGACACAAUGCAAGAACAUCAUGCUUGUCUGAUGUAUAGGCCUAUGUAACAGAACUCCCAUUGGUUUAAAAAAAAAAAAUCUAAUUCUUCCCAAGCACCAUCAUGUUUUCAGGUCUUUGGCAAGUUUUUCCUUGCUGUCAGGCAGCUGGCAGUUUCUGAACUGCUCAGGCAAUUCCUAACAACUUGCAGACUUUUACAAGUCGGAUCUUUUCAGUGUACCCAGUAAGAUAAAUAAAAGAUAAACAACACUCCUCCCCACAGAUUAUAAAACACUUUGAAAGUGUUGUUGGUUUGUUUCCUUUGUGGUUCCACUUGAAAUCAUGGCCCAGCCCUUUUCUCACUUGCUAUCUUUUGUGAAAUCAAAUUGAGGAAACCUAAAAGCCUGCUAAAGCAGACUUUGUAAGAUGUACUUCUGUACAAAAGGUGGACCCAUAAAAAUCAGUCCCUCCAUAUUUCAUUUAUGUAAAUGUCAUGAACGUAUGUUAGAACAGGUUAUGAUAACUUAGGGCAGUAUCAAUCAACCAGGGAGUGCUUUUGUAUAGGCCAUGUGACAUCAAUGAAGUGAAAGUAGUGUAUAUGUUUAUGUAGGCUCUGUUUGAUGUAAUACUACAACUCAUCUACCAAUCUCCAUCUCUGACCCUGACCUUGCUUUAAAGAACACAAACAGAUAAGAGUCAGGAGGUUAAAAACAUUCAUGAUGUAAAGUUGUGUUUACUAAAGACUUGAUGGUAAUUUUUAGGUGUUACAACUGUUGACUCCUAGCUUGAACCACUUGUCCAAAGACACCACAUGAAUCCUAGGCAAGGGUUACUUUUUCUGCAGGAUUUUCCCAUUAGUUUCUCAAUAGUUCUUAGCCAAUAACCUCACUUUGAAUGAUAAAUAAAGUUUGGGAUUUCAUUUUUAUUU